rnacentral:rRNA from 1 species
CACGUAGGGGGGCGAGCGUUGUCCGGAUUUAUUGGGCGUAAAGAGCUCGUAGGCGGCUCGGUAAGUCGGGUGUGAAACCUCCAGGCUCAACCUGGAGACGCCACCUGAUACUGCUGUGGCUAGAGUCCGGUAGGGGAGUGUGGAACUCCUGGUGUAGCGGUGAAAUGCGCAGAUAUCAGGAAGAACACCAGCGGCGAAGGCGGCACUCUGGGCCGGAACUGACGCUGAGGCCACGAAGGCCAGGGGAGCAAACGGG